rnacentral:rRNA from 1 species
UACAGAGGCCCCAAGCGUUGUUCGGAUUCACUGGGCGUAAAGGGUGCGUAGGUGGCUUGGAAAGUUUGAUGUGAAAGCUCAGGGCUUAACCCUGAAAUGGCAUUGAAUACUAUCGAGCUGGAGGUUUGGAGGGGGGACUGGAAUUCUUGGUGUAGCAGUGAAAUGCGUAGAUAUCAAGAGGAACACCAGUGGCGAAGGCGAGUCCCUGGACAACACCUGACACUGAGGCACGAAGGCCAGGGGAGCAAACGGG